GGGUUCUACCGUCGGUCGGGCUAACAAGUCUGUACUGGUGUGUAGAAUUUCUACCUUCUGGGGAACUAUCAUGUUAUUAAUUUAGCGUGGUGGGAAACCAGGACCUUUACCUUGAAAAAAUUAGAGUGUUCAAAGCAGGCUUACGUCUGAAUACAUUAGCAUGGAAUAAUAGAAUAGGACGGUGGUCCUGUUUUGUUGGUUUCUGAAUCACCGUA
rnacentral:rRNA from 1 species